GAUCCUGUGGCCUAGUGGUUAGAGCGUCCGCCUCGGAUGCGGGAGGCCAAGGGUUUAAAACCAGCUAAGACAUACCA